rnacentral:tRNA from 2 species
GGUAAGAUGGCUGAAUGUAUUAGGCGUUAGGCUGUAGUCCUUUUUACAGGGGUUCAAUUCCCCUUCUUAUC